UGAACGCUGGCGGCAUGCCUUACACAUGCAAGUCGAACGGCAGCACGGGUGCUUGCACCUGGUGGCGAGUGGCGAACGGGUGAGUAAUACAUCGGAACAUGUCCUGUAGUGGGGGAUAGCCCGGCGAAAGCCGGAUUAAUACCGCAUACGAUCUACGGAUGAAAGCGGGGGACCUUCGGGCCUCGCGCUAUAGGGUUGGCCGAUGGCUGAUUAGCUAGUUGGUGGGGUAAAGGCCUACCAAGGCGACGAUCAGUAGCUGGUCUGAGAGGACGACCAGCCACACUGGGACUGAGACACGGCCCAGACUCCUACGGGAGGCAGCAGUGGGGAAUUUUGGACAAUGGGCGAAAGCCUGAUCCAGCAAUGCCGCGUGUGUGAAGAAGGCCUUCGGGUUGUAAAGCACUUUUGUCCGGAAAGAAAUCCUUGGCUCUAAUACAGUCGGGGGAUGACGGUACCGGAAGAAUAAGCACCGGCUAACUACGUGCCAGCAGCCGCGGUAAUACGUAGGGUGCGAGCGUUAAUCGGAAUUACUGGGCGUAAAGCGUGCGCAGGCGGUUUGCUAAGACCGAUGUGAAAUCCCCGGGCUCAACCUGGGAACUGCAUUGGUGACUGGCAGGCUAGAGUAUGGCAGAGGGGGGUAGAAUUCCACGUGUAGCAGUGAAAUGCGUAGAGAUGUGGAGGAAUACCGAUGGCGAAGGCAGCCCCCUGGGCCAAUACUGACGCUCAUGCACGAAAGCGUGGGGGAGCAAACAGGAUUAGAUACCCUGGUAGUCCACGCCCUAAACGAUGUCAACUAGUUGUUGGGGAUUCAUUUCCUUAGUAACGUAGCUAACGCGUGAAGUUGACCGCCUGGGGAGUACGGUCGCAAGAUUAAAACUCAAAGGAAUUGACGGGGACCCGCACAAGCGGUGGAUGAUGUGGAUUAAUUCGAUGCAACGCGAAAAACCUUACCUACCCUUGACAUGGUCGGAAUCCCGCUGAGAGGUGGGAGUGCUCGAAAGAGAACCGGCGCACAGGUGCUGCAUGGCUGUCGUCAGCUCGUGUCGUGAGAUGUUGGGUUAAGUCCCGCAACGAGCGCAACCCUUGUCCUUAGUUGCUACGCAAGAGCACUCUAAGGAGACUGCCGGUGACAAACCGGAGGAAGGUGGGGAUGACGUCAAGUCCUCAUGGCCCUUAUGGGUAGGGCUUCACACGUCAUACAAUGGUCGGAACAGAGGGUUGCCAACCCGCGAGGGGGAGCUAAUCCCAGAAAACCGAUCGUAGUCCGGAUUGCACUCUGCAACUCGAGUGCAUGAAGCUGGAAUCGCUAGUAAUCGCGGAUCAGCAUGCCGCGGUGAAUACGUUCCCGGGUCUUGUACACACCGC
rnacentral:rRNA from 1 species